rnacentral:lncRNA from 1 species
CGGGUGCAUCCAGAGGGGUUAAGCGAGCGCCACCGCAACAUGAACCGAUUUAGCCAGUCAAAGCUACGAUUCUAUGCGUGAGGGAACGUAUGGUAAGAGGGGAAGGAGAUCUUUCACUCACACCAUCUUCUCUUUUUGGCGACUAACUCAUGCUCCUCUCUCUCUCUCUCUCUCUCUCGCUUUCCAGGAAUUGCAACUUUGCUCGCUCUCUCGCUCUCGUGCACAAAACCGAAAGAGAUGAGGAGAGAAUGGAGGAGAAAUUCUCAGGAGGGGGGCAGCGGUCUCUCUUAGAGAGGAGAGGAACAGAGACACCUUGCGAAAGAUCAAUCAAUCAAUCAAGAAGGAAUUGUGUGAUCUGUCGGGGGCCCUCAAUCAUGCAGGAGAGAGGAUGAAGCUCGCACACACAAAACCCUCUCUCUUUUAUUUUUUCCUCUCUCGCUCGCCAAGAAAGAAAGAAAGACUCUUUCCUGUGGCCGCCAUAGCUCCUCUAUGAGUCAGUGUGUUAAAAACUUACUAAUUCUUUUUUUUUUUUUUCCUUCUUUUCUUCUUUUGGCUGUGUAAAUUAUUUUUGUCGUACUCCUCGUGGCCCAAAACCAAAUGCGAGUAUUGGCCACCUCUUAACGUGGGGCCCUUCUUUUCCACCACGCCAGUGACGGGGAGGGGUCCGUC